UGCUCUAACUUAACCUAGAUAGAUAGAUAGGUGUAAAUAGGAAAGAUGGUAGAAUUGAAUAAGAACAAUAUUAAAGGUAAGAUAACAAUGGGUGAUAAUAUGGGAAUAGAGAGUAGAGCAAUUUAAUAUAUGGGCGAUGGUAGGAGAAUAGAGAGGAUAACUAUGGUUUCUCUACUUCAAAGGGGUAUGUCUAUGUCUGGGAUGAACCACGUGAUAAGAAUACAGCACAA
rnacentral:lncRNA from 1 species